UACGGAGGGUGCAAGCGUUAUCCGGAUUUAUUGGGCUUAAAGGGUCCGUAGGCGGAUCUGUAAGUCAGUGGUGAAAUCUCACAGCUUAACUGUGAAACUGCCAUUGAUACUGCAGGUCUUGAGUGUUGUUGAAGUAGCUGGAAUAAGUAGUGUAGCGGUGAAAUGCAUAGAUAUUACUUAGAACACCAAUUGCGAAGGCAGGUUACUAAGCAACAACUGACGCUGAUGGACGAAAGCGUGGGGAGCGAACAGG
rnacentral:rRNA from 1 species